GGCUCAGGACGAACGCUGGCGGCGUGCUUAACACAUGCAAGUCGAACGAUGAAGCCCUUCGGGGUGGAUUAGUGGCGAACGGGUGAGUAACACGUGGGCAAUCUGCCCUUCACUCUGGGACAAGCCCUGGAAACGGGGUCUAAUACCGGAUAAUACUUCCGUCCUCCUGGACGGUGGUUGAAAGCUCCGGCGGUGAAGGAUGAGCCCGCGGCCUAUCAGCUUGUUGGUGAGGUAAUGGCUCACCAAGGCGACGACGGGUAGCCGGCCUGAGAGGGCGACCGGCCACACUGGGACUGAGACACGGCCCAGACUCCUACGGGAGGCAGCAGUGGGGAAUAUUGCACAAUGGGCGCAAGCCUGAUGCAGCGACGCCGCGUGAGGGAUGACGGCCUUCGGGUUGUAAACCUCUUUCAGCAGGGAAGAAGCGCAAGUGACGGUACCUGCAGAAGAAGCGCCGGCUAACUACGUGCCAGCAGCCGCGGUAAUACGUAGGGCGCAAGCGUUGUCCGGAAUUAUUGGGCGUAAAGAGCUCGUAGGCGGCUUGUCGCGUCGGUUGUGAAAGCCCGGGGCUUAACCCCGGGUCUGCAGUCGAUACGGGCAGGCUAGAGUGUGGUAGGGGAGAUCGGAAUUCCUGGUGUAGCGGUGAAAUGCGCAGAUAUCAGGAGGAACACCGGUGGCGAAGGCGGAUCUCUGGGCCAUUACUGACGCUGAGGAGCGAAAGCGUGGGGAGCGAACAGGAUUAGAUACCCUGGUAGUCCACGCCGUAAACGGUGGGAACUAGGUGUUGGCGACAUUCCACGUCGUCGGUGCCGCAGCUAACGC
rnacentral:rRNA from 1 species